GUCGGCUCCUCGUGCGACGACAUCCAGGCCAAUUCCCCCAGGGCGGAAACGCAGCAAGGGUAACCGGGCUCUGUUGGGUGCGCGAGGAGUCUUUUUU
rnacentral:SRP_RNA from 1 species